GACUCAGUGGUAUAGUGGUUUGAGUGUUGGACUAGGAUUCUGGAGACCAGGGUUCGGAUCCCCUCUUGGCCA